rnacentral:rRNA from 1 species
GACGAACGCUGGCGGCGUGCCUAAUACAUGCAAGUUGAGCGCUGAAGGUUGGUACUUGUACCAACUGGAUGAGCAGCGAACGGGUGAGUAACGCGUGGGGAAUCUGCCUUUGAGCGGGGGACAACAUUUGGAAACGAAUGCUAAUACCGCAUAAAAACUUUAAACACAAGUUUUAAGUUUGAAAGAUGCAAUUACCUCACUCAAAGAUGAUCCCGCGUUGUAUUAGCUAGUUGGUGAGGUAAAGGCUCACCAAGGCGAUGAUACAUAGCCGACCUGAGAGGGUGAUCGGCCACAUUGGGACUGAGACACGGCCCAAACUCCUACGGGAGGCAGCAGUAGGGAAUCUUCGGCAAUGGACGAAAGUCUGACCGAGCAACGCCGCGUGAGUGAAGAAGGUUUUCGGAUCGUAAAACUCUGUUGGUAGAGAAGAACGUUGGUGAGAGUGGAAAGCUCAUCAAGUGACGGUAACUACCCAGAAAGGGACGGCUAACUACGUG